rnacentral:rRNA from 1 species
UCGCGUACACAGGGGCAACCCUCGCGCGAUGUCAGCAAUACCUAGGUCACCCUUGAAUAAACUACCCUUGUUGCUUUGGCGGGCCGCCCCUCGGGGCCAGCGGCUUCGGCUGCUGCGCGCCCGCCAGAGGACCACAACUCUUGUUUUUAGUGAUGUCUGAGUACUAUAUAAUAGUUAAAACUUUCAACAACGGAUCUCUUGGUUCUGGCAUCGAUGAAGAACGCAGCGAAAUGCGAUAAGUAAUGUGAAUUGCAGAAUUCAGUGAAUCAUCGAAUCUUUGAACGCACAUUGCGCCCUUUGGUAUUCCGAAGGGCAUGCCUGUUCGAGCGUCAUUAUAACCACUCAAGCCUUCGCUUGGUAUUGGGGUUCGCGGCUGCGCGGCCCCUAAAAUCAGUGGCGGUGCCUGUCGGCUCUACGCGUAGUAAUACUCCUCGCGUCUGGGUUCCGGUAGGUUGCUUGCCAGCAACCCCUAAAUUUUUUACAGGUUGACCUCGGAUCAGGUAGGGAUACCCGCUGAACUUAAGCAUAUCAAA